AGUGAACGCUGGCGGUAGGCCUAACACAUGCAAGUCGAACGGCAGCACAGGAGAGCUUGCUCUCUGGGUGGCGAGUGGCGGACGGGUGAGGAAUACAUCGGAAUCUACUCUGUCGUGGGGGAUAGCGUAGGGAAACUUACGCUAAUACCGCAUACGACCUACGGGUGAAAGCAGGGGACCUUCGGGCCUUGCGCGAUUGAAUGAGCCGAUGUCGGAUUAGCUAGUUGGCGGGGUAAAGGCCCAUCAAGGCGACGAUCCGUAGCUGGUCUGAGAGGAUGAUCAGCCGAACUGGAACUGAGACACGGUCCAGACUCCUACGGGAGUCAGCAGUGGGGAAUAUUGGACAAUGGGCGCAAGCCUGAUCCAGCCAUACCGCGUGGGUGAAGAAGGCCUUCGGGUUGUAAAGCCCUUUUGUUGGGAAAGAAAUCCAGCUGGCUAAUACCCGGUUGGGAUGACGGUACCCAAAGAAUAAGCACCGGCUAACUUCGUGCCAGCCGCCGCGGUAA
rnacentral:rRNA from 1 species